ACCCAUCUCGUCAAUCUCACCCUAUUUGGACUGGAUCAGCAGGGAGCAUUGAGUCCACAGAUUUUCUUCGACGCAGGAUUCCACCCGAAAUAGAACGAUUGGAGUAGACAACGUAGAGACCUGUAAUGUAAGGGUAUAACGAUGAGGAGGGGCGUGUGGGUGCUCUGAGCGCAGUCUGUCACUGUUAGAGUAACCUACUUAGAUUGCCGUUUUACUUUGAGUACUUUCCAUUCCAUUUCGGGGGUUCGGACCUCACAAGAGGUCUGAAAAUGAAAUAUUUCCGACCUGAUCCUUAUCAGAAGAUCCCUUCCGAAAAAAAGGCUAACAACCCUAUCAAAUUCAUUUGAUAAGCUUAUUUGACAUUGUGAGCAAUAAUUGAAUUCUUUAAGCGAAUCUGGAGAGCCUCAAACAGUCAGGGAACUGACAAUGAUCAAUCUAUCUGGGAUGGGAUGAAUCCAAAGUUUUUACCCACUUGACACAAAGUCAACAUCCAAGUCUAGACGAUCGAACACAAUCGCAAGAGCGAGUUCCAAGUCAAGUCAAAAAAAAUAGCUUUUAUUUAAAUAACCUCUCGUGUCAGAAAUGUGGAUGAUACGAACUGGAGCAAGAGUGGAGGGAGGAGAAGGAGGAAGAAGAAUUAGGGGGAUGGAGGAGAGAGAUUCAAAACCGGGAGGGAGGAUGAGCUACUUAAGUUUUAUGGUGUUGCCUCAGCAAUGAGUCGGAAUCUGGAAUCUGAUUUUUGUUUAACCAUCAUCAAGAGUUUGGAGACCUUGUGUUUGCCUUGGCGAGCUUUGGAGAGCUUUGAAUGCUCUCUGCCCCAAUUCACCGCUUGUUUAUAGCACUUUCAACUUCUGCCCUCUCCUAGAUCCUCCUUUGGACAUUCCAAGGCAGCAGGACGCCAAUUCAAACCCUCAACUCUAAAGUACUCUAAAGAUAUAUAUCAGUGAUUGGUUGCUUUGGGGGGUUAAACCGUCAAAAUCUGAUCGAAACCUGAUGCUUGCGUUUGGGUCCACAAUCUCGUUCCGGUCAAAUAUGGAUCAAAGAAUUCUUGAAACUUAUCUUGUGAGAGUUCUAGUCAACAACUCCGCCAUUUGAUGAUGGAAGAAGUGUCUGUUUGCAAUUUGUCGCCUUCAGAUGAAUAUCCUUGUUUUAGCAGCGGACGUCAUGUUUAUGUUAGCAUCGAUUGUAGGAUUUGGGUUGUCGUAUUGGAAAUUCUGAAGAUUACAGAAUGUAUGUUUGGUCCAGACGAUGUACAAUAAAACCCCACCUGCAUCACAAAGCUAAUCGUCAAGCAAACAUAUUCGUCUGGAUGUUUACUUACCCCGAAACACACGGGUAAUGGAACGAAUUAUGCAAAAAAGCGACCACUUUUGUGCCUCAAAAGCCCAAGUUUUGAGAAAUUGCCAUCAACACAUUAUAAAGAGGGGAAAUGAGGCCACUCCGUAGAUGAGCUCGGUGGAAAACAACUCAUUCCCAAAAGCAAAUGAGCUAUGGUGGAAGAAUGCUCAAUGUCUGGACAUGUCGGAGUAGAACAAAAGAUUGUUAUUCACCUUGAAACAAGAACUCAAUAAGAUUAUAAAUGUAUUAGACAUGAUAAGUACAAGUCAGAUACGAGACUAAAGCUUUUAAACAUGUACUAUGCCCUUUGAUUCCCAUGAAGUAUUUGAGACUCAGUCGUCUGGCUUGUAUAGUUCAUUUUCCUGACUGAGACAAUUAAUAGAUAAAAACUUCACCGCCUGAUCACAACAAAGAUGUCACAAAAGAUGUUGAACCUAACGAACACUCUCUUCUCCAAAGCAAUCUAGAAAUUAAGUAUUGUUAAAGGUACAAGAAUCUGAAAUGAAAAAACCCAAGAGUUGAAAGAUGGGUCUCACUCAGAACAACGAAUUCGCUGACCCACAUAUUAUUGAGCCAACUGGCAGUGUCAGUUCUCCUAGUGUCAUCCACAGGGUCGGUUCGACUCGAUUUUUGAGUGAUUGCGACAGAUUUCUGCCUUGACUGAUUAGUGGUCCCACGGACAAGGACGAGUGCGCUGAAAAUCAUCUUCAAGAAACUGCUGGCCCAAGACGCUCAUGAUUGAGAACUCAUUUUCUGGAGAAUUAGUUCGCAAUCCUUCUUUGAAUUCAUGGGCUGGCAAAAAGACAACCACGAUCAUUUCUUAAAUAUAAUUCUCAAUCCAUU